AUUGAACGCUGGCGGCAGGCCUAAUACAUGCAAGUCGAACGAGUGGCGGACGGGUGAGUAAUGUCUGGGAAACUGCCUGAUGGAGGGGGAUAACUACUGGAAACGGUAUCUAAUACCGCAUACCAUCGGAUGUGCCCAGAUGGGAUUAGCUAGUAGGUGGGGUAAAGGCUCACCUAGGCGACGAUCCCUAGCUGGUCUGAGAGGGUGACCAGCCAAACGGGAACUGAGAAACGGUCAAGAAUCCGACGGGAGGAAGCAGUGGGGAAUAGUGCACAAUGGGCGAAAGCCUGAGGGAGCCAUGCCGCGUGUAUGAAGAAGGCAUUCGGGUUGUAAAGUACUUUCAGCGGGGAGGCGGUACCCGAAGAAGAAGCACCGGCUAACUCCGUGCCAGCAGCCGCGGUAAUAC
rnacentral:rRNA from 1 species